GAGAGUAACUGAGGAAAGAAAGCAAAGUGGGUGAAUACCACCAAGAAGGAAUAUGGAAAGCAACCCAUGGAUUUCCUCCAGAUUAAAGCAUUGUCAUACUGCUGAGAGCACUUACUAAGAUUGUGGUGCCUCUCACGAACUUCUCGGUGUUCUAGCAUCUUGUUGGGCUCCCGAUACAGGACUGGGCCUCUUUCCAUUUCCAUGAACCUCCAUAAGCAGUUCAGAAGAGUCAGCAGGAGAUGCGAUACUGGUGUUGAGCAGAAGGUGCUCGUGCUGAGCCAAGUACUGGGAUGGGGUCUGCUUGGCAGCCCGGGCACAAUGCAGGAGUUCUCGCUGCAGCAGGGGCAGGUUGGCCUUGAAAAGAAAAGGCAGUUUUCCCAUCUGCUGAGCCCUACCUACAGAGAUUAGCAUCUCAACGAGCUCUUGCAGACAAACAGCCCUCUUUGCUUUCUCCCUCUAACACUCACUAGUAAAGUGGCAUCAAAGUAGUAAAGGGGCAUUUUUAUAUA